rnacentral:rRNA from 1 species
AGAGUUUGAUCCUGGCUCAGAUUGAACGCUGGCGGCAUGCCUUACACAUGCAAGUCGAACGGCAGCGCGGGAGCAAUCCUGGCGGCGAGUGGCGAACGGGUGAGUAAUAUAUCGGAACGUGCCCUGGAGUGGGGGAUAACUAGUCGAAAGACUAGCUAAUACCGCAUACGAUCUAAGGAUGAAAGUGGGGGAUCGCAAGACCUCAUGCUCCUGGAGCGGCCGAUAUCUGAUUAGCUAGUUGGUGGGGUAAAAGCUCACCAAGGCGACGAUCAGUAGCUGGUCUGAGAGGACGACCAGCCACACUGGGACUGAGACACGGCCCAGACUCCUACGGGAGGCAGCAGUGGGGAAUUUUGGACAAUGGGGGCAACCCUGAUCCAGCAAUGCCGCGUGUGUGAAGAAGGCCUUCGGGUUGUAAAGCACUUUUGUCAGGAAAGAAAUCGCUCUGGCUAAUAUCCGGAGUGGAUGACGGUACCUGAAGAAUAAGCACCGGCUAACUACGUGCCAGCAGCCGCGGUAAUACGUAGGGUGCAAGCGUUAAUCGGAAUUACUGGGCGUAAAGCGUGCGCAGGCGGUUGUGCAAGACAGAUGUGAAAUCCCCGGGCUUAACCUGGGAACUGCAUUUGUGACUGCACGGCUAGAGUGUGUCAGAGGGGGGUAGAAUUCCACGUGUAGCAGUGAAAUGCGUAGAUAUGUGGAGGAAUACCGAUGGCGAAGCAGCCCCCUGGGAUAACACUGACGCUCAUGCACGAAAGCGUGGGGGAGCAAACAGGAUUAGAAUACCCUGGUAGUCACGCCCUAAACGAUGUCACUAGUGUCGGGUCUUAUUGACUCGGUAACGCAGCUAACG